AUUUCACAUUUUUAUUUUUCAAAUGUUCAUAACUGAACUGGGUUCUGUUACAAAUAUUCUGUAAUAUUGCCUGUGUUUUUGUUGCAGUUGGCUACGUUUCAACGAGCCACAUUGUAGCAGAGGAUCCUGAUAUUUAUGAUGACAUUGGUGAAGAUUGCAUCUAUGACAACGACUAAAACACCAGCCCAAUACCAUUCUCCCCCCCACCACCCUCGGACAUACCCUGCUGUGGAUGUCAUGUGCCCUGCUGUGGAUGUGGAUGUGGAUAGGGUUAGGGUUAGGGCUGUGAUGUAAAAUGUAUUUAUUGCUUAUAAAUGAUUCAGGGAGGAUGACUAAGGCAUUGUAUUCCAGAGAUUCAGAGAUUGAUAUGGCAAUGCUGUAUCCCAUAGAGAUCAGGCUAAUCCAGCAUGCCCUGUAGGCCAUUAGUGUGGAGGUAUUGCACUGUCGAUAAUACAAGUCUGAAAGCAUUGCUGCAGACUAAGACUAGAACGAUUACAUUUGCAAUGAAUACUUGUUUUUUUAUAUGAUAUAUAUUUUUUUGUAAAAAAUAAACCAAACACAUAAUUCUUGGUUUUUAAAAAAACAUAAUUGUUGUAUUUGGACAGACAGGGUGCAGCAUCUAGUAUCUGAAACUCCUUGUGCUCUGUUCCAAGGGUCAACACCCACAGCUCUUAAAUCUACCAUAGGCCUGUGUGUGUGUGUUGGAACGAAAGGCUGUACAGAAUAAAACCUCUACUUUAUUUGCUCUAUUCACUGUAAUACUACUGCAGGACUAUAUGGUGUCAGGUGUUACAAUUCUUAAAUGUGUGUUACUAUCACUGUUUUUCAACAAUAGUCAAAGCUGGAUUUUGAAUUAGUCUUAUUUUUUGAUUUUCUGCCAGUAUCAUCAAACCUCUUUGGCUAGCCUCUAAGCAAACCUCUCCAUAUUGUUUAAAAUCUGUGCCGGGAAACUCACAACAUGUGAGUGAAAAUGAUACCACAUCGCAUCAGCAGUGAACCAGUCUUCGUCUGAGUGGCGUAUGCAGGCAGAGGGAGGGCGAGAUGGCCGUGCAGAUGUGGCCCAUUUACGGUUUUAAAUGAACGCCUUUUUAAUACAAAUGGAUACGACUUACAUCUGACAAUGCCAGCUAGCUGAUUUGUUGCUUUCCUGUGAUUUUAUAUUUAAAGGUAAGGACAGAUAUUACAUUGAUUAAAGUGUAUUAUAACAGUCAAA